rnacentral:rRNA from 1 species
CUGCUGCCUCCCGUAGGAGUUUGGGCCGUGUCUCAGUCCCAAUGUGGCCGUCCACCCUCUCAGGCCGGCUACUGAUCGUCGCUUUGGUAGGCCGUUACCCUGCCAACUGGCUAAUCAGACGCGGGUCCAUCGCAUACCACCUCGGUUUUUCACACUGGACCAUGCGGUCCCGUGCGCUUAUGCGGUAUUAGCACCUGUUUCCGAGGUUGUUACGUCCCCCGGUAUACGGCACGGUUACCCACGUCGUUACUCCACCCGUCCGCCACUAACUUAA